ACGGCCGCAGCCAUCUUGCCCGUGCGUCCGUGGCACGGAACGGCCGUUAGUCCCGGCAGAGGGCUCCGCGAAGACAGUGCCGUCGUUGGGCGCGCGCGCGGGCGGGAGCUGUCGGGGCGGGGCGGCACCGCCGAGCUCCGAGCUGCAGGACUUUGAAAUGACCCUGUCCUCAGCCUGGAGGAUGCGGUAUUCUGAUUGUCUGGUGCUGUGUCAACUGGGCCUGCCUCUGGGAUAGUGUUGUGGCUGCCCCACGAGAACCCUAUAUGCCAGUUCCAGAAGCAAAAACAAAAAAAGUUCGGGUACAGCGGCUCACACCUGUAAUCCCAGCUCUUAGGGAGAUGGAAACUGGAGGAUCACUUGAGGCCAGGAGUUCAAGACCAGCCUGGGCAACAUAGCAAGACCCAGUCUCUUAAAAGAAAAUUAAAAAGAAAGAGUAAAUAAAGUUCCAGAAGCUUUGCUCUCCUUA
rnacentral:lncRNA from 1 species